CCUACGGGAGGCUGCAGUGAGGAAUAUUGGUCAAUUGGCGAGAGCCUGAACCAGCCAAGUCGCGUGAAGGAUGACGGCCCUACGGGUUGUAAACUUCUUUUGUCAGGGAGCAAUUGAGUCCACGUGUGGGCUUAGCGAGAGUACCUGAAGAAAAAGCAUCGGCUAACUCCUUGCCAGCAGCCGCGGUAAUACGGGGGAUGCUAGCGUUAUCCGGAUUUAUUGGGUUUAAAGGGUGCGUAGGCGGAAUAUCAAGUCAGCGGUAAAAAUUCGGGGCUCAACCCCGUCGUGCCGUUGAAACUGAUGGUCUUGAGUGGGCGAGAAGUAGGCGGAAUGCGUGGUGUAGCGGUGAAAUGCAUAGAUAUCACGCAGAACUCCGAUUGCGAAGGCAGCAUACCGGCGCCCAACUGACGCUGAAGCACGAAAGCGUGGGUAUCGAACAGGAUUAGAUACCCUAGUAGUC
rnacentral:rRNA from 1 species